GUUGUCGUAUUCACUUCAAUCCAUGUGUGUUGAUGCGUAUUGGAGUGGAAUUUAGUUCAAUUUCCACUCCAAUCCACCUCAACACAUGUGAAUUGUGGUGAAUACGACU
rfam:Sorghum bicolor cultivar BTx623 chromosome 7, whole genome shotgun sequence.